rnacentral:rRNA from 1 species
CACGUAGGCACCAAGCGUUGUCCGGAUUUAUUGGGCGUAAAGAGCUCGUAGGCGGUUCAGUAAGUCGGGUGUGAAAACUCUGGGCUCAACCCAGAGACGCCACCCGAUACUGCUGUGACUUGAGUACGGUAGGGGAGUGGGGAAUUCCUGGUGUAGCGGUGAAAUGCGUAGAUAUCUGGAGGAACACCGGUGGCGAAGGCGGCGUUCUGGACUGCAACUGACACUGAGGAACGAAAGCCAGGGGAGCAAACGGG